UACGAAGGGGGCUAGCGUUGUUCGGAUUUACUGGGCGUAAAGCGCACGUAGGCGGCCUGUUAAGUCAGGGGUGAAAUCCUGGAGCUCAACUCCAGAACUGCCCUUGAUACUGGCAGGCUCGAGUAUGGAAGAGGUUGGUGGAACUGCGAGUGUAGAGGUGAAAUUCGUAGAUAUUCGCAAGAACACCAGUGGCGAAGGCGGCCAACUGGUCCAUUACUGACGCUGAGGUGCGAAAGCGUGGGGAGCAAACAGG
rnacentral:rRNA from 1 species